rnacentral:lncRNA from 1 species
UCCCUGUGAAGUACUUCCUCUAGUUCUUCUUCUCAACCUUAAGAGUUGUCAAAGUUGUCUGUUUGCUGCAUUAUGUAAGUUUUUUCUGGAACACAUCAUGGUGAUAUAUGGCCAGUUUUGAGUAUAUCUUCCAAAUAACUGAAAGCAUCACUCUCAUCAGGAUCUUUGUACCAAAUAAUGUUGUAUGAAAAAGAAAAAAACA